AGUUGAUGUUCUUCCUGGUGAAGAGCUCUGAGGCGGCCCCAAAGACGCUCACUUCCUUGGCGCCUGCAGCCACCUGCCAAAAUCCAGGGCCUCACUAAGUUGCUGAGACUGGCCUCCUGCCUCAGUCUCCCAAGUCCCUGGGGUCACAGGUGUGUGCCACUGCAACCGCUGACUGGUACUUAAAAGAACAUGGCUAUGUGACGACGCAGAGCGAAGACCACAUGAAGCUGGAGGCAGGCCCUGCAGUGAUGGAUGUCCAAGCCCUGCAAUGCCCAGGACCGCUGGCACACCAGGGACCAAGAGAAAAGCCUGGAACAGGUUCUCUCUGAGAAGCCCUCAGAAGAAGCCAAUCCUGCUGACACCUUGAUUUUGGACUUCUGGCUUCCAGAAUUUGAGAGAAUAAAUAAAUUUCUGUUGUUUUAA